rnacentral:rRNA from 1 species
AUUGAACGCCGGCGGCAUGCUUUACACAUGCAAGUCGAACGGCAGCGCGGGCUUCGGCCUGGCGGCGAGUGGCGAACGGGUGAGUAAUACAUCGGAACGUGCCCAGUAGUGGGGGCUAGCUCGGCGAAAGCCGGAUUAAUACCGCAUACGACCUGACGGUGAAAGCGGGGGAUCUUCGGACCUCGCGCUAUUGGAGCGGCCGAUGGCAGAUUAGCUAGUUGGUGGGGUAAAGGCCUACCAAGGCGACGAUCUGUAGCUGGUCUGAGAGGACGACCAGCCACACUGGGACUGAGACACGGCCCAGACUCCUACGGGAGGCAGCAGUGGGGAAUGUUGGACAAUGGGCGAAAGCCUGAUCCAGCAAUGCCGCGUGUGUGAUGAAGGCCUUCGGGUUGUAAAGCACUUUUGGCGGGAACGAAAAGGACUGGGCCAAUACCACGGUUCGAUGACGGUACCCGCAGAAUAAGCACCGGCUAACUACGUG